rnacentral:lncRNA from 1 species
CUCACCAUUUAAGAGAAAGAAGGAAAGGUAAAGAGAGAAAGAGAGAGAAAGGGAUUUGUUCUCUGCCUUAUUCAUACAUUAGCUCUCUGCAAAGGCACAAAGCAGAAGGAGCAGCAUCAGCAACCUUGCAAGCAGUGACUCUGUUUCCAAUUAAUAUGAUCUGAGCUACUUUGAGAAGCCAAUUUAUUACUUACACAUAUCACACUUGAGCUCUGCUGAAAACUGGAUGUGCCAAGCACACCUUUGCUUCUGAUUUAUACAUAAAGACUUGCAUCUUUCACAGAACAAACCUUAUCAGGAGAGACUCAACCAAGGCAGGCUGCAUCCUCAUCUGCUGGUGGAGGAUCCCAAGGACCCGUUCCCCAGUGGGACUGACUCAGGACUUUUUCAGGGAUUAAGUGGAGAAAAAGGAAGUGAAGGAAAAGAAGAUAAGAAUUAUAUUAGUGGAUAUUGCUGGACUCACAAUGCUGGCAGAAAUGGAUGAAGAAGCAGGAUAAGAUUUAUCAUCGGAAAACAGUGGAAGACCCAGACUGGGACUCUAGAAGCUGUUUCCAAACUACUCCAUAUGGCAAGGAGAGCUGGAAGUGCCCUGAGGUCACAUCUGUCUCUGCUGUGCUCUGACCGUCACCUGUCAGGUCAUUUCAG